GUAUUUGCAUUUUUAACUUUUCCCACAUCACACUGCUUGCACCAAACACGCCUCAAUUGUCCCCACUUCCAGAAUGCGCAGCCCGCGGGGCCUCCUCGCCAUCUCCGGCUACCUUGCCGGCCGCCAUGCUCCGGCGGCCUCCGUAUCCAUUGCCGGCCACCACUCCCUCUUCUUUGCCCGCACCUUCCAAAUCCUAGCCCAGCCGGAGCCCGUCCGCCUCCAGGAGCUCUCGGCACCCGACUCCGGGAUCCUAGAGCUCAGGCUUGAGCGGCCGGAGGUCAAGAACGCCAUCAAUCGGGAUGUGAUGAGGAGGCUGCGGAGUGCCAUAGAGAAGAUUCAGGCCGACUCGAUGGCGAAGGUUGCCCUGGUUGCGAGCUCAGUCCCAGGGGCUUUCUGCGCAGGCGCCGAUCUCAAGGAAAGGAAGCUAAUGAGCUCUUCUGAAGUUGGAGAGUAUGCUAGAUCCCUGAGGUCUAUAUUCUCGUCUUUUGAGGCACUCCCUAUUCCAACAAUUGCUGUUAUUGAAGGAGCUGCUUUGGGUGGUGGCCUAGAGUUGGCUCUUUCAUGCGAUCUCCGCAUAUGUGGGGAAAAUGCAGUACUUGGAAUGCCAGAAACAGGCCUUGCCAUUAUACCUGGAGCUGGAGGCACACAGCGCCUUCCUAGGAUUGUGGGGAGGUCGAGGGCAAAGGAACUGAUAUUAACUGGCCGUAGAUGUGAUGCAGCUGAAGCUGUAAUGAUGGGACUUGCAAACUAUUGUGUUCCAGCAGGAGAGGCUUAUCAAAAAGCUCUUGAUAUUGCCCGCGAGAUAACUCAAAAGGGUCCCCUGGGGAUAAGAAUGGCGAAGAAGGCUAUAAACCAGGGGAUGGAGGUCGCCGACAUGUCCUCGGCAUUGGCUGUUGAAGGGGGAGUGCUACGAGCAGCUGCUGCACACGCAGGAUCGCCUUGAGGCCCUGGUUGCGUUUUCGGAGAAAAGGAAGCCUGUCUACAAGGGAAAGUAAAGUAGUGUCAUGUCAUGUUGCUGUUAGACCGUUGGGGCUCCUGUCCUGGUGGACGGAGUGUGUGUAUGAACUGUAAGAUAGGGAGAAACGUUGAACGGGCCCUGGAUUGUAUAUGGAGGCUAGAUGCCAGAUGGCCUGUGCAUCUGCA